AGUGAACGCUGGCGGUAGGCCUAACACAUGCAAGUCGAACGGCAGCACAGUAAGAGCUUGCUCUUACGGGUGGCGAGUGGCGGACGGGUGAGGAAUACAUCGGAAUCUACUUUUUCGUGGGGGAUAACGUAGGGAAACUUACGCUAAUACCGCAUACGACCUACGGGUGAAAGCAGGGGAUCUUCGGACCUUGCGCGAUUGAAUGAGCCGAUGUCGGAUUAGCUAGUUGGCGGGGUAAAGGCCCACCAAGGCGACGAUCCGUAGCUGGUCUGAGAGGAUGAUCAGCCGCACUGGAACUGAGACACGGUCCAGACUCCUACGGGAGGCAGCAGUGGGGAAUAUUGGACAAUGGGCGCAAGCCUGAUCCAGCCAUACCGCGUGGGUGAAGAAGGCCUUCGGGCUGUAAAGCCCUUUUGUUGGGAAAGAAAAGCAGCAGGUUAAUACCCCGCUGUUCUGACGGUACCCAAAGAAUAAGCACCGGCUAACUUCGUG
rnacentral:rRNA from 1 species